GCCAGGCAUGGUGGCUCAUGCCUGUAAUCCGAGCACUUUGGGAGGCCGAGGCGGGAGGAUCACUUGAAGUCAGGAAUUCAAGACCAGCCUGGCUAACAUGGUGAAACCCCGCCUCUA
rnacentral:SRP_RNA from 2 species